rnacentral:rRNA from 1 species
GACGAACGCUGGCGGCGUGCUUAACACAUGCAAGUCGAGCGGAAAGGCCCUUCGGGGUACUCGAGCGGCGAACGGGUGAGUAACACGUGAGUAACCUGCCCCAGACUUUGGGAUAACCCUCGGAAACGGGGGCUAAUACCGGAUACGACACAGCUUCGCAUGGGGUCUGUGUGGAAAGUUUUUCGGUUUGGAAUGGGCUCGCGGCCUAUCAGCUUGUUGGUGGGGUGAUGGCCUACCAAGGCGACGACGGGUAGCCGGCCUGAGAGGGCGACCGGCCACACUGGGACUGAGACACGGCCCAGACUCCUACGGGAGGCAGCAGUGGGGAAUAUUGCACAAUGGGCGGAAGCCUGAUGCAGCGACGCCGCGUGAGGGAUGACGGCCUUCGGGUUGUAAACCUCUUUCAGCAGGGACGAAGCGUAAGUGACGGUACCUGCAGAAGAAGCGCCGGCCAACUACGUG